rnacentral:lncRNA from 1 species
CCUCUGCAGCAGCUGUCAGCAGCAGCCCUGGGACAAGAAGCACUGGAGCCCCAGAUUCUGAUUCUGCAAGGACCACUACUGCUAGUUCAGUGGCCACAACCAAACCAUCUACCUCUGCCAGCACAGAACCAGGCUCACCUGGAGCAUCAUCUGGAUCCAGCCCUGGUACAGCGGGUGUCAGCACUCCUGGAGAAGCAAGUACUGGAGCCACAGCUUCAGGAACCAUAAGCACUCCUGGAGGCUCUACCACUGUAAGUCCUGAAACAUCAACUAGACCAGUCACUACCUCUGCUGAGAGCAGUGCAGGUAAAGGAGAGAAGAGAGAAGUCUGACUUGUGUGUG